rnacentral:rRNA from 1 species
AACGAACGCUGGCGGCAUGCCUAACACAUGCAAGUCGAACGAGACCUUCGGGUCUAGUGGCGCACGGGUGCGUAACGCGUGGGAACCUGCCCUUAGGUUCGGAAUAACUCCCCGAAAGGGGUGCUAAUACCGGAUAAUGUCUUCGGACCAAAGAUUUAUCGCCUUUGGAUGGGCCCGCGUUGGAUUAGCUAGUUGGUAGGGUAAAAGCCUACCAAGGCGACGAUCCAUAGCUGGUCUGAGAGGAUGAUCAGCCACACUGGGACUGAGACACGGCCCAGACGCCUACGGGAGGCAGCAGUGGGGAAUAUUGGACAAUGGGCGAAAGCCUGAUCCAGCAAUGCCGCGUGAGUGAUGAAGGCCUUAGGGUUGUAAAGCUCUUUUACCCGGGAUGAUAAUGACAGUACCGGGAGAAUAAGCACCGGCUAACUCCGUG